UACGUAGGGUGCGAGCGUUGUCCGGAAUUACUGGGCGUAAAGAGCUCGUAGGUGGUUUGUCGCGUUGUUCGUGAAAACCGGGGGCUUAACCCUCGGCGUGCGGGCGAUACGGGCAGACUGGAGUACUGCAGGGGAGACUGGAAUUCCUGGUGUAGCGGUGGGAAUGCGCAGAUAUCAGGAGGAACACCGGUGGCGAAGGCGGGUCUCUGGGCAGUAACUGACGCUGGAGGAGCGAAAGCGUGGGGAGCGAACAGG
rnacentral:rRNA from 1 species